AGAGUUUGAUCCUGGCUCAGAACGAACGCUGGCGGCGUGGAUAAGACAUGCAAGUCGAACGAGAGAAUUGCUAGCUUGCUAAUAAUUCUCUAGUGGCGCACGGGUGAGUAACACGUGAGUAACCUGCCCCCGAGAGCGGGAUAGCCCUAGGAAACUGGGAUUAAUACCGCAUAGUAUCGAAAGAUUAAAGCAGCAAUGCGCUUGGGGAUGGGCUCGCGGCCUAUUAGUUAGUUGGUGAGGUAACGGCUCACCAAGGCGAUGACGGGUAGCCGGUCUGAGAGGAUGUCCGGCCACACUGGAACUGAGACACGGUCCAGACACCUACGGGUGGCAGCAGUCGAGAAUCAUUCACAAUGGGGGAAACCCUGAUGGUGCGACGCCGCGUGGGGGAAUGAAGGUCUUCGGAUUGUAAACCCCUGUCAUGUGGGAGCAAAUUAAAAAGAUAGUACCACAAGAGGAAGAGACGGCUAACUCUGUGCCAGCAGCCGCGGUAAUACAGAGGUCUCAAGCGUUGUUCGGAAUCACUGGGCGUAAAGCGUGCGUAGGCUGUUUCGUAAGUCGUGUGUGAAAGGCGCGGGCUCAACCCGCGGACGGCACAUGAUACUGCGAGACUAGAGUAAUGGAGGGGGAACCGGAAUUCUCGGUGUAGCAGUGAAAUGCGUAGAUAUCGAGAGGAACACUCGUGGCGAAGGCGGGUUCCUGGACAUUAACUGACGCUGAGGCACGAAGGCCA
rnacentral:rRNA from 1 species